rnacentral:tRNA from 1 species
GCUGUAGCUCAGUGGUAGAUCAUUUGCCUUGCAUGCAGGAGGUCCCAGGUUCAAUCCCCAGCAUCUCCA